UACGUAGGGGCCUAGCGUUGUCCGGAAUUAUUGGGCGUAAAGAGCUCGUAGGCGGUUCGGCAAGUCGGAUGUGAAAUCUCCACGCUUAACGUGGAGGGGCCAUUUGAAACUGCUGUGACUCGAGUCCGGUAGGGGAGUGUGGAAUUCCUGGUGUAGCGGUGAAAUGCGCAGAUAUCAGGAGGAACACCGGUGGCGAAGGCGGGUCUCUGGGCCGAUACUGACGCUGAGGAGCGAAAGCGUGGGGAGCGAACAGG
rnacentral:rRNA from 1 species